rnacentral:rRNA from 1 species
GCAAGUCGAACGAGAACCUCUCAAUAGGUAACUAUCGAGGGACUUCUAGUGGCGAACGGGUGAGUAACACGUGAGUAACCUGCCCCAAAGACCGGGAUAGCCCAUGGAAACGUGGAUUAAUACCGGAUACCCUCGCGGAAUCGCAUGGUUCUGCGAGGAAAUGCUCAGGCGCUUUGGGAUGGACUCGCGGCCUAUCAGCUAGUUGGUGAGGUAACGGCUCACCAAGGCUCUGACGGGUAGCUGGUCUGAGAGGACGAAC